CUUGUGCACACCUGGACUGCACAGCGUGACACCUGGGCGCUGCAUGACAGGAGCAGCCGGCUCACGCCUUUCACGUGCAGUGGCAGUCGCUGCUUCAACAGGGUAUUCUUCCUAUGCUGCCUGCAUGAGCUGCUCCAUGACUACCCCGACUUGGCCAAGGUGGUGAGCUGUCAGUGGUCAUUGACAUCAGAGGCAACUGACAGUUUUUUUUAUCAACAGAAAUUUGGUUGUUGCCCCCAAAGUUCUAUGAAAUAAGAAGACUUGAAAACUCUGCCCCCCUCCCUGAUUUGCAAAAAUUUUGUUUGGAUCAUGAAUUAGAAAGGGUAGAAAGAUGGCUGGGAUCACCUUAUUAACUGCUGAUGGGAUGCCCAGCUUUUACCAGGUUAUGAGCUGGCUUUGUUUACCUAGAAGAUUCACACUUUUUAGAAAAUAUUUUGUCUACUGAAAAAAAGACUGACAAAAUCAUGAAGGCAAGAAAUGUCACUGAGUAGUGAUGUACAAUUGCCAUCUUUACAAUAUCCAUGUGACUAUUCAAAGUAGAAAUACAUUUAUCUUAAGAACUAUAUAGUAAGUAAGAGUCACUUG
rnacentral:lncRNA from 1 species